UGGAGAGGUAGCUGCUGGGCAGGGCACCGGCCGCUGCCUCACGUGUGGGAAAGCUGUAGCCCUCCUAAGCCUCCUCCACUGUGGCCGCUACGUUCGUUCCGGUCCUCUCCUCCGCCGAGCGCGCCCGGCGUUGGGCUUCCCAAAUAGCCUGUCUAUUGCUGCACUAGGCUCUUCCAAUUUUUGCAAAUGGCAACUCCCGAGCCCAUUGCUCGGCUUAUUUCCCAUGUCAUUCUGGAUUUAGAUGGUACCCUCUUAAACACAGAUUGUGUUGUAAGUCAAGUGCUGAAACCGUUUCUAGUCAAAAAUGGGAAAAAGUGGGAUAGCAAGAAAGCUCACAAAUUAGUUGGAAAGACACCUUAUGAAGCAGCAGCUGUUGUUUUAGAAGAUUAUGGACUCCCUUACUCAACAGAAGAAUUUCUCUCAAUGCUUACUCCAAAUGUUCAAUGAACAGUACUGUUGCUGAAACUUCUUAGCACUCAUAUAACCUGCAUUUUGUAAAUUGCAUACUGCCAUGCUAUCUCAAUGGAGAAUCUUCGUACAUUUCUCUAU